AAACCAGCACCUCAAGUGGUCAGGAUGAUUAUUGGGCCUAAAGCAUCCGUAGCCUGCUGUAUAAGUUUUCGGUUAAAUCCAUGUGCUCAACACAUGGGCUGCCGGGAAUACUGUACAGCUAGGGAGUGGGAGAGGUAGACGGUACUCGGUAGGAAGUGGUAAAAUGCUUUGAUCUAUCGAUGACCACCUGUGGCGAAGGCGGUCUACCAGAACACGUUCGACGGUGAGGGAUGAAAGCUGGGGGAGCAAACCGGAUUAGAAACCCGAGUAGUCC
rnacentral:rRNA from 1 species